rnacentral:rRNA from 1 species
UACGAAGGGGGCUAGCGUUGCUCGGAAUCACUGGGCGUAAAGGGCGCGUAGGCGGAUCUUUAAGUCGGGGGUGAAAGCCUGAGGCUCAACCUCAGAAUUGCCUUCGAUACUGGAGAUCUUGAGACCGGAAGAGGUGAGUGGAACUGCGAGUGUAGAGGUGAAAUUCGUAGAUAUUAGGAAGAACACCAGUGGCGAAGGCGGCUCACUGGUCCGGUACUGACGCUGAGGUGCGAAAGCGUGGGGAGCAAACAGG